ACCAAAAUUGCUUAUGUAGGAAGCCGACGACACGAAGGAAAACAUUGAAAAUGCUUAUUCCAAAAGAAAAUCCAAAAUCGCGUUUCCUUCAUCAUCGUCAACACUCGCGUUCCCUUCAUCAUCAUCAACGCCCGCGUUCCCUUCACCACCGUCAACGCUCUCAUUCUUCUCCAUCCUUUGGUUCACCGAAGAAUUUCGAAACCUCGCGUAUUGGAUUCUCAACAUCGCCUUUCGGCAUCGCGCUUGUAUGUUCAAUCUUGAAAACGUUGUGUUUGUGGAUGGUGUUUAAUCUUCGAAGUCGAAUUCGCUACAGUAUCAGCAUCGUGACGUGAUCUUCAUCUUGGAGCGCUCUUCGCCACAGCUUCGAAACGUCGAUCUGCACUUCAAAUUCACACUUCCGUUCGAAGCUCCAACAUCUGAUUGCGAUGGAUUCACAUUCUAUCGAGUUGGACUUCUGAUUUUGAAUCGCGUCGUCAUCUUCGACGUCGCGUUCGCUUCAGCAUUCCGCCAUAUGGAGCAUCGCGUGUAUGCGAGACUUCUAUUCAAACAAUUCGAUAAAAGCAAAUGCGGAUACUUACCGGAUUGAAGCGACACGGUGGUUCUGAGGAUGACAGUGUGAAAGCUGUGAACUAUAUCACCAUUGAAGAUGAGGAGCUGAAGCGGCUGAACGAAUGCGGAUAGACGAUGAUGUGUAGCAAGGUUGAAAAUGCAGAGUGGAAGGUUGAAAGAACUUGAAGAUUGAGUAAAUCCUGAAGAUUGAAGAGUGAAGCUUAAAGAAGAAUGAUUCCAACUGAAGAAAGGAUUGAAGGUUUUGGAAGUGAUUAGUCAUUGUUCUUGCGCAUGUUUAUUCCGUGUUUGCUGCAGAAUCGCAUUUUUGAUUGGCUCAACAUUGUAUUGGUUCAGAAUUGUUUCGAAUCAGCUCUGUUUUGAUUCGGUCGGUUGAAUGAACUCAUGUUUGCGUAUGGAGUGAUUGAUUUGGAAGGUGGAAACGUUUUGUUUUGUGUAGUUUAUAAUUAGUUUUGGAAAUUCUGUAACUUUGGAUGGGAAUGAAUCAUGAAUUGGAAACAUGGAUUAACUUGUAAUUAAAUGAAGAAUGGGUUUGUAUGGAAUGUCAAUAAAUUGUAUAUUAAACGGGAAUCGUAAUAAACUUAUGGAAAUAUUAUGAAUACAAACUUAGAAAUUUGUGAA